GCUAACCUCCCCCCUUUGCUAAAAAAAAGCUAACCUCCUCCCCUUCCUCCACUAAAAAAGGAGCUAACCUCCUCUCCGUACCCACCCACUCCUCACCUUCCUCUCCGCCUCCAUAAUCAUCUCCUCUCCAUCCUCAGCACACCACCGUCUUGGUUGGUUUUCCAAUUAAACGUGGAUCAAGUUUCCCAUCCUGUUUAUCCUGGAGCAAGGAAAUUUUGGAUUUGAUUUCCAUGGUACCUGGUGGUGCCACCGGUGGCCAUGAUCUGGGGCGACGGCGAGGACAUCUUGAACAGUGGCCUAUCAAAGUUUGAGAUCCGGGCCAGAUUCGUGUCUGGUACGCCGUCCGCAACGUCGCCGUGAAGAUGGUGUGCCAGUUCAAGCGCAGCCUUCGAGGUCUCUCUCCUCCUCCGCCACCAAAACAUCAUCACCAUACCUACUGUAAUACUCCUCUUUUCUCAGUCCAACAUUUUCUCAGCCACCAUCUUCAUCGAUCAGAUCCACCAGAGUGGCCUGGCGAAUGCGUCCACGUUUCUCUGUUGGAUCCUCUAGUUCUUAGUCUAUUUAUUAUUUCAGUAUCUGCACUAGGAUUUUCCUCUAUGGUGUUGUGGAGCACGGAAGGCCCAAACAUCCGCUUCUCCAUUCUAGGAGUUUCAGUUUUAGGGCAUGCCUCUUUAAUUUGUUUCUAUCAGUUCGCCAUGUGCAGGUUGUUGCUUCUAAGCUGACUGGUUUACAUAUAUGCGACCAUGGAUAUCUUUGUUAAUUCAUGAAGAAUAUCUGCAUCCUCUUUUUCUAACAAAUUGUUUCUUGUGAUGCAUUAGAUUUUUUUAUUUCUUGCUACUAUGCAGGUGAGUAAUCAAUCAGUAUUUUCAAGUGAAGUUGAUCAUCACAGAACCGUUCAAUUAGGUACCAAUAUUAUCUAAGAUUUAUCCUAGCUAGGACCAUGUCAUCAAAGAGCAUUCCAUCACAUAUCAAUAGGUCAACACUAUUAACAUCACCUUAUUAGUGUUAUGGAUGCUCACUAAUUUCGCUGACACACUUUGUACUAAAGGAAUGAGCCCCACAUACACAUGUUAUCUUGUCCUCUAGGUUCUGUAUGUUUCCUGUGUCGUCCCAGUUCUCACCUAUUUGGUGUCCGCAUCAUCAGUAGCCAAUUACACCAAUACCAUCCAGCUGGUUACACUUCCAGCCCUCCACCAUGAUAGGUUUUUUGGGUUAGAAUUUGGUUUAGGUGUCAAUGUGCAGGUCAGGGACGAUAGCUCCUUGAUGGGCAGUAGCGGUGUUAGGUGCGGCUCCCUGAUCUGCGACAGUGGCUCGGCUGCUCUGUGCUGAAUAUCAUGCAAGAUGCAAUAGUUAGAAGUUAUACUGAUAUAUGGUGUACUUGCAGCUACUGAUUUAGUACUGUUAACUGUUUGGCAAAGGAGGUAAAGUUCUGCAUGUACGGGUACUAGGCAAAUCAAAAUGAUUAACUUCCUGGAUCUUUUUUCUGCAAUUCCCAUCUCAUUUAGCAAUGUACUUGAAACUGAUUGCAGAGUAUUCUACUUUGCACCAAUUUUUUGGUUCAAACAACACUAAUUGUUACUGAAAAAAGCAGUUUGCAAAUUAGGAUAGUAAUCAUUUACGUGAAAUAUUGAACCAUGUCCCUUGACAAUGUUUGUUUAUUUCUUAAAUAUAUUUUCAGCAUACUAACAUCACUUUCUCAUUAUUUUAGACUAACUCAGAGUUCAUAUUCAGUAUACAAUAAAUUAGAAAAUGAGAUGAACAAUUUGGGCUUGUGACCAGUGUAUGAAUAAUGAUGUAUUGACGACUCGCAACCAGUCUACAUUGUGUUUUGUAAGUCUAGAACUUAAUUUUGUUUGUCCAAUUCACUAAUUAUUGGCUUAUGGAAGUUAAAAAAAAAUCCGACCGAGCAAACUUAAUGUUAGCAUACAUAUAUUGUACAUGUUUCUGGUCUUCUAAAUUACAAAUUCUUUUGUUAAAUCUGCAGGUUACAGAAACUAGAUAUAUAAUCUGCGUACAGAGCUACUAUGGUGCCCCUCGUUUAUAUUUUUACUCCUCUAUUAACCUGAUUUUUUUAUUUUAAUUUACUCACCUCAUUUUGUUGUUGUUGUGGAUUGCAAGAUAAGUUGACGAUUCGCGGCUAAGAUGUUGAUUGCAAGGUCGAGAAAGAGGCUACUACUAGAUAAUUAGAAUGUCAUCUCCAGGGCCAAUGUUUCAAACCUUGUUGUAGAUUGCAAGGUCUAAAAUUGGGCUACUACUAGAUAGUUUUACAUUUUGUAAUCUUUGGAUCACGAUCUUUGUUUUGCAACACAAUCGAUUUAAUAUA